AUUAAACGCUGGCGGCAUGGCUAAAACAUGCAAGUCGAACGAUCCCUUCGGGGAGAGUGGCGAAAGGGCGAGGAAUAGAAUCGAAUGUACCCCAAGGUGGAGGAUAGCUUCUGGAAACGGAAGGUAAUACUCCAUGUGCUCUACGGAGGAAAGGUUUACCGCCUUGGGAGCGGCGAUUCACCUAUCAGGUUGUUGGUGAGGUAACGGCUCACCAAGCCGAAGACGGGUAGCGGGUGUGAGAGCAUGACCCGCCGCAUCGGGACUGAGACACUGCCCGGACUCCUACGGGAGGCUGCAGUAACGAAUCUUCCGCAAUGGGCGAAAGCCUGACGGAGCAAUGCCGCGUGUAGGAUGAAGCGCCUCUGGUGUGUAAACUACUGUCAAUGUCUAGGAAUACUGACCAGACAUAAAGGAAGGGCCGGCUAGUUCAGUGCCAGCAGCCGCGGUAAAGUCAG
rnacentral:rRNA from 1 species